CCUACGGGAGGCAGCAGUGAGGAAUAUUGGUCAAUGGGCGCUAGCCUGAACCAGCCAAGUCGCGUGAAGGAUGACUGCCCUAUGGGUUGUAAACUUCUUUUAUAUGGGAAUAAAGUGCAGUAUGUAUACUGCUUUGCAUGUACCUUAUGAAUAAGGAUCGGCUAACUCCGUUCCAGCAGCCGCGGUAAUACGGAGGAUCCGAGCGUUAGCCGGAUUUAUUGGGUUUAAAGGGAGCGUAGGCGGGUUGUUAAGUCAGUUGUGAAAGUUUGCGGCUCAACCGUAAAAUUGCAGUUGAUACUGGCAGCCUUGAGUACAGUAGAGGUAGGCGGAAUUCGUGGUGUAGCGGUGAAAUGCUUAGAUAUCACGAAGAACUCCGAUUGCGAAGGCAGCCUGCUGGACUGUAACUGACGCUGAUGCUCGAAAGUGUGGGUAUCAAACAGGAUUAGAUACCCCUGUAGUC
rnacentral:rRNA from 1 species